GUUUGAUCCUGGCUCAGGACGAACGCUGGCGGCGUGCUUAACACAUGCAAGUCGAACGAUGAACCACUUCGGUGGGGAUUAGUGGCGAACGGGUGAGUAACACGUGGGCAAUCUGCCCUUCACUCUGGGACAAGCCCUGGAAACGGGGUCUAAUACCGGAUACGACUACUGAGGGCAUCCUCGGUGGUGGAAAGCUCCGGCGGUGAAGGAUGAGCCCGCGGCCUAUCAGCUUGUUGGUGGGGGAUGGCCUACCAAGGCGACGACGGGUAGCCGGCCUGAGAGGGCGACCGGCCACACUGGGACUGAGACACGGCCCAGACUCCUACGGGAGGCAGCAGUGGGGAAUAUUGCACAAUGGGCGAAAGCCUGAUGCAGCGACGCCGCGUGAGGGAUGACGGCCUUCGGGUUGUAAACCUCUUUCAGCAGGGAAGAAGCGCAAGUGACGGUACCUGCAGAAGAAGCGCCGGCUAACUACGUGCCAGCAGCCGCGGUAAUACGUAGGGCGCAAGCGUUGUCCGGAAUUAUUGGGCGUAAAGAGCUCGUAGGCGGCUUGUCGCGUCGGAUGUGAAAGCCCGGGGCUUAACCCCGGGUCUGCAUUCGAUACGGGCUAGCUAGAGUGUGGUAGGGGAGAUCGGAAUUCCUGGUGUAGCGGUGAAAUGCGCAGAUAUCAGGAGGAACACCGGUGGCGAAGGCGGAUCUCUGGGCCAUUACUGACGCUGAGGAGCGAAAGCGUGGGGAGCGAACAGGAUUAGAUACCCCGGUAGUCCAAU
rnacentral:rRNA from 1 species